rnacentral:rRNA from 1 species
UACGAAGGGGGGCUAGCGUUGCUCGGGAAUCACUGGGCGUAAAGCGCACGUAGGCGGCUUCUUAAGUCAGGGGUGAAAUCCUGGAGCUCAACUCCAGAACUGCCUUUGAUACUGGCCUCUAGAGAUCGGAAGAGGUGAGUGGAAUUCCCAGUGUAGAGGUGAAAUUCGUAGAUAUUGGGAAGAACACCAGUGGCGGAAGGCGGCUCCACUGGUCCGAUACUGACGCUGAGGCGCGAAAGCGUGGGGAGCAAACAGG